rnacentral:rRNA from 1 species
ACCAGCAGCUAUCACUCGGCAGCUCUCACAUGGUUUCCCACUGAAGCAUAGCAGGGUUGAACCUGGUCAGUACCUGGAUGGGAGACCUCCUGGGAAAACUAGGUUGCUGCUGGAA